rnacentral:rRNA from 1 species
UCAAGUUACUAAGGGCGUGUGGGGGAUGUCUUGGCGCCAGAAGGCGAUGAAGGGCGUGGAAGGCUGCGAAAAGCCCGGGGAAGCUGUCAAACAAGCGUUGAUCCCGGGGUACCCGAAUGUCAUACGCGGAAUCCAUAUGCGUAUGAGGCAAACGCGGUGAACUGAAACAUCUUAGUAACCGCAGGAAAAGAAAACAAAAGUGACUUCCUUAGUAGCGGCGAGCGAACGGGAAUCAGCCUAAACCGCAUGGCUUCGGCCAUGCGGGGUCGUGGGGCUCAUCACAGUGAAGUUACAAAAUCGUCCGCUAGAAGAAUCUGCAGGAAAGCAGAACCAAAGAGGGUGACAGUCCCGUAUUCGAAAGCGGUGCGAUCUUCCGAUGAGUACCCGAGUAGGUCCGGUCACGUGAAAACCGGAUUGAAUCUGGGAGGCCCAUCUCCUAAGGCUAAGUACUUGCUGGCGACCGAUAGUGAAUCAAGUAGCGCGAGCGAACGAUGAAAAGAACCCCUGCUAGGGGAGUCAAAAGAACCUGAAACCACACGCUUACAAGCGGUCGGAGCUCUGCGUCCUUCGGGACCGAGUGACGGCGUGCCUUUUGCAUAAUGACCCGGCGAGUUACCGUCAUUGGCUCGGUUAAGGCCUUCAGGGCCGGAGCCAAAGGGAAACCAAGUCUGAAUAGGGCGACAAUUGGUCAAUGGCGGUAGACGCGAAACCUUAGUGAUCUACGCAUGGGCAGGUUGAAGCGCGGGUAAGACUGCGUGGAGGACCGAACCCGUCUGGAUUGAAAACCGGUGGGAUGACCUGUGCGGAGGAGUAAAAGUCUAAUCAAACUGGGAGAUAGCUCGUUCUCUUCGAAAUAGCUUUAGGGCUAGCCUUGAGCCACUACGUAAUGGGGGUAGAGCGACUGAUCUCGAUAGAGGUCCUACCCGGAUGCUCUGCGUAACCAAACUCCGAAUACCAUUACGACUAUCUCAGGAGUCAGUCCGCGAGGGAUAAGCUUCGCGGUCGAGAGGGAAACAACCCAGAUCGCCUGUUAAGGUCCCAAAGAUCCGCUCAGUCACAAAGGAUAUUAGAAUACUGAGACAGCCAGGAUGUUGGCUUAGAAGCAGCCAUCAUUUAAAAAGUGCGUAAUAGCUUACUGGUCGAGUAUUUUAGUACCGAUAAUGAACGGGAGUAAGCGGAUCACCGAAGCAGCGGGCUUGCCUUCGGGCAAGCGGUAGAAGAGCGUUCUGGACCAGAUACAAGUCAUACCGAAAGGAUUGAUGGUGGGGUCCAGAAGUGAUUAUGCCGGGACGAGUAACGAUAAAACAGGUGAGAAUCCUGUUCGCCGAAAGCCUAAGGUUUCCUGGGGAAGGUAAAUCCGCCCAGGGUUAGCCGGUACCUUAGUCGAGGCCGAGAGGCGUAGACGAUGGAGGGCAGGUUAAUAUUCCUGCGCCACUUGUGUGAACCGAUGGGGGAACGUUGUUUCGAGGGUGAGCCGGGCGACUAGAAGUGCCCGCAGGGGUAUUUGAGGAUGUGGUAGGAAAAUCCGCCACAACAAUCCAAGGGUAUCUCUCGAGUGCAUUGAUCAUGAAGUCACCUGAAGAACAACCAAGAAAAGCCUCUAAGGGUUAAAGCACAAGUGACCGUACUAAAACUGACACAGGUAGGCGAGGCGAGAAGCCUCAGGCGCUCGGGAGAACGCUGGUUAAGGAACUCUGCAAAUUGACCCCGUAAGUUCGCGAUAAGGGGUGCCUCCUGGGGUUAACGCUUUGGGAGGCCACAGAAAAUCGGCACUAGCGACUGUUUACUAAAAACACAGGACUCUGCGAACUCGUAAGAGGAUGUAUAGAGUCUGACGCCUGCUCGGUGUCGGUAAGUUAAGGAAGAGGGUUAGGGUCCUCGGACUCGAAGCCCGCGACCGAAGCUCCGAUAAACGGCGGCCGUAACUAUGACGGUCCUAAGGUAGCGAAAUUCCUUGUCGGGUAAGUUCCGACCUGCAUGAAUGGCGUAACGACUGGUGCACUGUCUCCACGAGGGACCCGGUGAAACUGUAGCCGUGGUGAAGAUGCCACGU